rnacentral:rRNA from 1 species
GACAAACGCUGGCGGCGUGCUUAACACAUGCAAGUCGAACGGUCUUCCUUCGGGAAGAUAGUGGCGGACGGGUGAGUAACACGUAGAUAACCUACCCUUAUGUGGGGAAUAACCCCUCGA